rnacentral:rRNA from 1 species
UACGGAGGGUGCAAGCGUUAUCCGGAUUUACUGGGCUUAAAGGGUGUGCAGGCGGGCUUUUAAGUCAGUGGUGAAAUCUCCGGGCUCAACCUGGAAACUGCCAUUGAUACUAUUAGUCUUGAAUUUUGUUGAGGUAGGCGGAAUAAGUCAUGUAGCGGUGAAAUGCAUAGAUAUGACUUAGAACACCAAUUGCGAAGGCAGCUUGCUAAACAAAUAUUGACGCUGAGGCACGAAAGCGUGGGGAUCAAACAGG